rnacentral:rRNA from 1 species
UACGUAGGGCGCAAGCGUUGUCCGGAAUUAUUGGGCGUAAAGAGCUCGUAGGCGGUUUGUCGCGUCUGCUGUGAAAACCUGAGGCUCAACCUCGGGCCUGCAGUCGAUACGAGCGGGCUAGAGUUCGGUAGGGGAGACUGGAAUUCCUGGUGUAGCGGUGAAAUGCGCAGACUAUCAGGAGGGAACACCGGUGGGCCGAAGGCGGGUCUCUGGGCCGGAUACUGACGCUGGAGGAGCGAAA